AAACUGUAGUCGCAGUUGACAAGUGCUACUUCAGUCACUAAUAACAACUUCAGAAGUGCUAGUGGUGUCUUGGUUCUUAAUGCUGUGGCUCAGAGCUCUGGGAACGUCUUUCCAGGUCAUUUAGAGCCAUCCAUCUGAUCUGAAACAAGAGCAGUCAGUCUCUUCACAGGCUCUGCUCCUUGCUGGCUGCAAGGUCCUCUGUUCAUCCCCUCAAGGCUGCAGCAGUGGCACAUCCAGGCAGCUGUCUGCCUUCUGGAAGAGCUCCAUUUACCUGCAAUGAUGUCAGUGUUUGCAUCAAGGAAAAGGUGAGGGGUCCAUCACCUAAUAGCUGAAUACAGCCCUUUCAUGGGAGGAGGCUCUUGCCCCAUCUCAGUUUUUCUUUAAUUUUAACCUUAAUUUUAACUUUUUUUUGAAGCAGGUUGAACCCUCUCCUGAGAAAGUCUGUCUGUACAGAAGGAGCAAGACAAGCACUCGGACACAAGUCCCAGCUUUGCAGCUGCAGUCUUAAAGUUUGCAGCUCUCCAAAUCUUACUCGGAUCAAGUUCAAGUGUGCCUUUCCUUCAAGGAUACAACCACGCGUGCAGCUAUCAUCUAAAUGCCAACAACACCACCUGGAAAUCCAUCUCAGAUGCCACUUCUUCUUCAAGCAGAUCUUCCCACCUGUCUCAAGCCAGAUGUUUUGAACAGUCAUGGAACUACCUGCAAAUAAUGCUGUGCUCCUGCUUCUCCAGUGUGUCUUCCUAGACCUGAUGUCAGCUUCUUGCUUGUGGAGACAAAGAAUGUCACCAUGAAUGUCCAUUGGCAAACUGGAUAAGAAAAGAGUGUCACAGUGCAGGACAACCUAGAAGAUGACAGGUAUUUCCAGGCAUAGCAAUGAUGAGAUCAAAUUCCCCUCAACCUGCCUUGUUUGCUGAUCUUUUAAUCAGAUUCAACUUCACUGCAGCUACAGCACAAGGUUCCCUGACAAUGUAUGACAGCAUGUGACAGAAAAAUAUUUUGAUUUUUUUUUUUUCUUUGACCAUUUGAUGUUAUUUCAGAUAUAUCUGAAGCCCUGGCAGCAUCUGCUAAAUCUACUGAACUGUUUUAGUGG
rnacentral:lncRNA from 1 species